GACGAACGCUGGCUGCGUGCUUAACACAUGCAAGUCGUACGGUAAGGCCCUUUCCGGGGUACACGAGUGGCGAACGGGUGAGUAACACUUCAGUAACCUGCCCCCAACUUUGGGAUAACGCUAGGAAACUGGUGCUAAUACUGGAUACGUUCUCCUUCUUCAUGGUGGGGGUUGGAAAGCUCCGGCGGUUGUGGAUGUACUCGCCGUCUAUCAGCUUGUUGGUGGGGGAGUGGCCUACCAAGCCGGCGACGGGUAGCCGGCCUGAGAGGGUGACCGGCCAGAGUGGGACUGAGAUACGGCCCAGACUCGUAGGGGAGGCAGCUGGGGGGAAGAUUGCACAAUGGGCGCAAGCCUGAUGCAGCAACGCCGCGUGCGGGAUGACGGGAGUCGGGGUGUAAACCGCAUACAGCAGGGAAGAAGCUUUUUGUGACGGUACCUGCAGAAGAAGCACCGGCUAAAUACGUG
rnacentral:rRNA from 1 species